UACGUGAGGGUGCGAGCGUUGUCCGGAAUUAUUGGGCGUAAAGAGCUCGUAGGCGGUGUGUCACGUCGGCCGUGAAAACCUGGGGCUCAACUCUGGGCGUGCGGUCGAUACGGGCAUCACUUGAGUUCGGCAGGGGAGACUGGAAUUCCUGGUGUAGCGGUGGAAUGCGCAGAUAUCGAGGAGGAACACCGGUGGCGAAGGCGGGUCUCUGGGCCGAUGACUGACACUGGAGAAGCGAAAGCGUGGGGAGCGAACAGG
rnacentral:rRNA from 1 species